GGGAUUUGGAUUUACAGCAGUAGGAUCUCGGGAUCUCGAUUCCGGCAUGAAAAACCUCGAUUUAGGUAAUGGCGAUUUGGAUUGGGGCACUAAAAAACUGGGGUUUGGCUGAUGGGAUCUUGGCAUUGGGGAACUCGGAUGAUGUUCAAUCCGGUGUUUAUAGUCGGUGUGGAUUAGGCCUCGUGCGCGUAUGGUGUAGGAGGAGGGCGUCUCGUCAUGUGAUUUUAUUUACUACUUGUUUAGUAUAUAUUAUGUUUCACAUAUUUAGAGAUUGGAAUCAUAAAGUUAGUUCUUUCAUGAUUACAGUUCCCUCUAGUUCGUGUAACUAAUCUGUCAAUUAGUCAAUUAGCCUAGUUCCUGAUUACACACUCUUUUUUAUGUUUUAUGUCAGGCCCUUGAGCAGGUUACUCUGUUGCUCUGAAUUUUAAGUUGUGUAUUCUGGUGCCGCGCUCCCCAUGGAGUGUGUGCUUAUUUUUUUUAUUUUACCUUCUUAAUAAAUGUACCAGAUUUGAACUUUAAAUUUUAUUAAAUGAAUUAAUAGUAUUAAAAUUUAAUUUAUGGCAAGGUUUACUACACUGACUAUAUCACAGUUUACUGAAACUCAAUCACUUUCAGGUGACAACUUUUUCAAAGAUGUGAGCUAUAUUAUUAUUAUUAGUAGUAUUGAGGUUGUAUGUGUUGAGCCCUUCUCUGCUUGAAAAAAAAAGAAGCCAUGAAGCAUGGAGGCAAACAUAAUUGCAAAUCGAUCUGAGCUGCCUAAAUUUGAGUUUGAGUAUUGGGAGAGCAGGACCUGUCGGAUGGGACCCAAAGCACCUUAGUGACCCUGAUCGUCUUCGCCGGUGCUGCGGUCAUGCCUGCACUGCUUCGCCACGCCGGGAUCACAAGCUGGGGCGUCCCAACCCUCACCGGCAUCGCACACUGGACCGUCACCGUGAGCCAUCUUCAGAGUCGUUUUUAUGUAUUGAACUUGUGAACUUGGAAUAAUGUGUACUUUUGAAUGUGUGGUUUGUAAUAUAUUGUGAAUUUUGUACAAAUUUGGUCGUUUGUGAUAUAUAAAUAUAUAUAAAUAUGGUUUGUGAUA